rnacentral:rRNA from 1 species
GCUANGACGGANNAGAGCCUAGCGUUGAUAUCUCUAAUUCUAAGCACGGAGCUUGGGUUUUUUUUAAGUAACAAAUCGAACGCCACAUUGUCAGAACUGCUUGCUGCCAUUUAAAAAGACUCAAAAAUGGAGCGAUGAAUAUGGGUAUUUUCACCUUAUACUGGAUAGGUUUUAUAUUGAGCCGCCUUCUGACUGGCGCCGCUACUCUGGCAACAGAGCGGCGGAUGCCGGGAAGUUGGUCAAACUUGAUCAUUUAGAGGAAGUAAAAGUCGUAACAAGGUAACCGUA